GAGGAGUCCCAGCUCAGCAACUGUUCUCUGCCCGCUGCAUUCAGGGCACAGUAUUUGUGCAAAGCUUCCCAAGACGUGAGCUGCAGGAGUGCUACAUCUGUAGAAGUUGGACAAGCUGAACACUUAAGCUCCAACCCACUGAGGCCUCAACAAGACCAAGGAGUUUCCCUGUAGUGCAUGGCAUCCAGAUGUUAGUAGCAGAUCCCUUAGUUCCUGUUUCAAUUAUGGAGCCAACACAGAUUGAACAUCUUGUUCCAGCACAUCCCAGAUUGAGAUCCGGGGAAUUUGAAGGCCAGGCCUACACCUUGAACUCAUCAUGUUCCUGAAAACAUUCCUGAAUAAUGUGUGCACUGCAGCAUGGCACUGAAAGACACCACUGCCACUGAGGACCACCUGUAAAUAGGCGGCAUAUGUCAAAUUGAU